rnacentral:lncRNA from 8 species
GCAGAGUGGACCUUUCCUACCUCUAAAUGAAUUAUAGUAGAUUAUGUAAACCCUCGUCGGCCGAUGUUCAGGGAGUCGUGUUCGUGGGAGACGCAUAAAAUGAUCCUACAAGACCGAUCAAAUGAAGGUUAAGGUUUAGCAAACAACACGCAACGGCAAUUACACGUCUGGCAACCUCUAGCUCUGAGAAUCUGAGUAUGAUAAGGUUGUUUUAUUUAGUCUGAACUGGUGUUACAUGCCUGACAGAAAUACUCUGAAGCUGUGUAUCCGGAUGGAGAACAAUGUUGACGGCACUGUCACUGAAUAUUACUCCCGAUAUACACGGCGCAUCAUUACUUUGAGUGUCUAUUCUUAAGUCGUUGAAGCCUCCUUGGUACAUAGAAGUUUGAAGAUUGCACAUUAGCUAAUAUUUUUGAUACUAUCUUAAUCAUCUGAAGGCUGCAACAAUGAUCCAGCAGAACAAUAACAACAACUACCCAUGCCUGGAGAUGUCUGGCUCCCCCAGGGAGGUGCUGCAGAAGUGCCAAAGAAGCUAUCUUCCCUUCACAGGACGCUUGGAGCUUGGGGACAUGCCCUUAGUCAAGGGCCUUCGGGCCUGGGCUGCGUGCUCCAAGAACCGCAGGAGGGCAGCACCUUCCCCCAGGUCUCAAGGAACGUGCCCCAGGCCUGCAGAUGUCUACCCAGUGGGACAGUGGGGCAGGCUGGGUUAUGGUCUGGGACUACCGCUGGACUCCAACUAUGCCUCCAACCCUAGACAGACAGGCCUGGGGGCACUGGUGACUGUGGCAACAUUGAAGGCCUCUGAGGGAGGUGGUCAAACUCAGACACGUCUGUUCCUCAAGACGGAGGGUGGAAGGUGCCUCUACUCCACGGGCAGCCCAAGACCCUGCACUCAAGGUCUGGCCCCUCAGUACCCCUCCACGCUGGUGGGCAGCUGGCUGACGGAUAAAGUGGGAGGGGUCAGGGACUCCUCCAUGGUUGGGAAAAUGGGGGUGCGGGAUAUGGGAGGGGCCUCAGAAUUGUACCAAGUCAAAUCGAGGUCAGCCCGGAGGUGGAGGACGUCCUGCAAGCCUGUGGUUCCCAUCCAGGGGAGAACACUCCAGAGCACGGAGGAUUCUGGCGAGCGCACCCUGGAAGGGAGCCAGGAAAGCAGGGACAAAGGGGAGUUUCCCACAACUGGUCAGGACACUCCGAGUGGAAAACAAGACCGAGGGAGUACUAGAAGCCCCAAAUGCAGUCACGCUCAGACCAAGACCUGCACCCAGUAUCACGGGCGGCGAGGAGGACAGGGGAGCAGCGGGGGUCAGAGGGAAGCUGCUUCUGUAUGUGAGCAGGAUCGGUCGAGCCGCGUUGUGGAGGGGAUUAAAGACAAAGUGAAGGAUGGGACUGGUCUCACCCGGUCAAAGCCCUGUGACUCCUCCCUGCCUCCAGACAAUGCUGACCCAGAAAACUGCAGCAGUGACGUUGGGGACCGGGGAAAGCCAGACAGCCCACACGCACAGGAGGAGCUGCAUCCUGAAACCUCCCUGAACAAGGAGCACUUCCAGGACAAACUAUGUGAUACAGACAUGCAUACUGGAGGCAAGGAUGUAGCCAGUGGUAUCAUGAGACAUGUGGAAGACUUUGAUGGCAUGGUGGGUGCUGUGAUUGGGUUUGUGGAUCAUAUCAAGUCCGCAGAGUGUGAUUCUGAGAGUCUAGGGGGGAUAGCUGAGGGGGAGCUGCCCAACAGGUGGAUCGAUGUUCAAACCUCAGAGAGACACUGCUGCUCUGAGAGAGGCUGCCUCAAAGCCUGCUCCAUUCAACUACCCAGCCCAGCAGGGGGCAGCAUUUCAACUGCUACUGAUGAGACUGGCUAUGGUCAGAUAAAUCAGGAAAGGAAAUCAGAUAGUCAAUACAAUAAGCUUUGUGUGAAAUGUCUGCCAGAAGAAAAAUAUCCUGUGGCAGUGGAUAAAGAAGUAUUACAGAAAUAUGUGCAUGGCCUCUGUGAGGGAGAGGAGGGGAUCCAGUCAACAGCAUCAGAAAUUAGGGAACUCUGUGUGGAGCAUGGAGAGAUACUGCCUGAGGUCAGGAGCACAGACGAUGAGGCCAGGCUGGUAGGGGGAGACAUCACAUCCCAGAGAACUGAGCGAGGGCCUCACUGGGCAACGGAGGAGCAUGAGUCCGAGGAGACAUGUAGGACGGAAGAGAGGUGUUUUUCAGAUUUACCAGCUACCCUGACUGAGGACGUAGGAGGAGGAGGGUGGAGCGAGGCAGGGACUGGGCAGUUUAAUUCCAUUUUACGAGCCUCUGCUGCUGCUGGCCCUGCUACCUCUGUCACACACUCGCCGCCUAAUCCGGCCUCCUCAGGAGCCAUGGCAACAGGCCUCCCUGCUCCAAAUGGGGGGCAGACAGACGCUGGAGGUGGGGCUCUGGUGCCUCUGCUACGGAGCCCAGGGGAGCAGGAGUGGAAGAGGGGUUGGGACGAGAGCAAGGUGGCCGCCGACGAGGGGUUCCUGGAUGGGGGGCCGGAGGCGGAGGAUGACUUUGGGCUUUUCAUGCAGGCAGAGGAGCAGCCGCCCUGGGACGACCGCUUCACUGCAUCACCCCUAGUGCCUUCUGGGAAAAGUGAGAGUGUUGCACUUGAAAACCAUUCCAUCACCAACGAGUCUACCCAUUGGACCUCAGGUUGGACAGACGGCUCAUUCCAACAAUCAGAGGACGCCUGGACAGCCUUCCCAAAGGAUUCAGAGGGAGAGGGGCAAGACACAAGAGGACAGUGGUGGCCCACAAAUGCUGUGGAGAAGACAAGGGGCAGAUUCUCUGCCAAGCAAAAUGUGAACAAUGUGUUUGUGGAGUCCUUCCCGUCACUGUCUACUCCCCUGUAUGAUUGUGAUGCUGUUCCCAUGCUCAGCCAGCUCCUCAGAGGCAUCUUGGAUCAUGAAAGCUCUGCAGAGGAUCAUGGCUUACUUGAUGGGUUCCAUGACCUCAACAAGAUGUUUGGCUUUAAAUAUAAGAGGGCAAAUGCUGUUUCCCGUGAACGGCUUCUACAGUCUCUACAUUUGGGCCAGUGUAACACGGAAAAUAUGACUGGGCACCGAGCAGCCAACUACAGUCCCUCUCUUGGCCUCCCCUCGUCCAGUCAGCAUGCACAGGCCUGUGGGAAGAGACGGUUAUCUUAUGAUGUCAACAAGAGCAUCAUGGAAUAA